rnacentral:rRNA from 1 species
CCCUUAUGAUUUGGGCUACACACGUGCUACAAUGGACAAUACAAAGGGCAGCGAAACCGCGAGGUCAAGCAAAUCCCAUAAAGUUGUUCUCAGUUCGGAUUGUAGUCUGCAACUCGACUAUAUGAAGCUGGAAUCGCUAGUAAUCGUAGAUCAGCAUGCUACGGUGAAUACGUUCCCGGGUCUUGUACACACCGCCCGUCACACCACGAGAGUUUGUAACACCCGAAGCCGGUGGAGUAAC